rnacentral:ncRNA from 1 species
UAAAGGUACUUUAUAUAUAGCUUAGUUUAUAUUUAUAGGGCAUAAUGCCCUACAACGUAGCGGUGUCUGAUGAUUGAAAACUCUCAUAAACUAGUUUUUGGGUUUUCAAUCAUGUGACACUAUAAUCGCUAUCCCAUAAUUUAUUUAGGGAAUGGGACUCUUCACCGAGGUUGUAAAAUGAGACAAACAAUUUUAGCUGUAU